GCAUUGCUGAGGAGUCCCAUAAUAGAACGAAACGGCCGUUCAGUGU
rfam:Schistosoma rodhaini strain Burundi genome assembly, scaffold: SROB_scaffold0002195